rnacentral:misc_RNA from 1 species
GAUGAAGAACGUAGUGAAAUGCGAUAAGUAAUGCGAAUUGCAGAAUCCGUGAGUCAUCGAAUCUUUGAACGCACAUUGCGCCCAUUAGUAUUCUAGUGGGCAUGCCUGUUCGAGCGUCAUUAAGUCCACUUAAGCCCUGCUUAGUGUUGGGAGACUGCUCCAGCGGUGCUACCCUGUAGCUACCCUGCAGCUCCUCAAAGACAGCGGCGGAGUUGUGGUAUCCUCUGAGCUUAGUAACUUGUUCUAGCUUUCGAGUACACCACUUCCCCUGCCGUAAAACCCUUAAUUUUUAAUGGUUGACCUCGGAUCAGGUAGGAAUACCCGCUGAACUUAAGCAUAUCAAUAAGCGGAGA